rnacentral:misc_RNA from 1 species
CAGGGCCGUUGCCAAGCCCGACGCCACACUACCUCAGAAGAAAGAAUAAACUAAAUAAGAUGGUUCAAUAUAAUUUUAAGAAGAUCACUGUAGUCCCAAGUGGGAAGGACUUCAUUGACAUUAUCCUCUCUCGAACACAAAGGCAAACACCAACAGUUGUCCACAAGGGAUAUGCCAUUUCUCGUCUGCGUCAGUUUUACAUGCGCAAAGUCAAGUACACUCAGCAAAAUUUUCAUGAGAAGUUAUCUACAAUUAUUGAGGAGUUUCCUCGGCUGGAUGACAUCCACCCUUUCUACGGUGACCUUCUUCAUGUCCUUUACAACAAGGACCAUUACAAGCUUGCCCUUGGCCAGGUAAACACUGCCAGGAAUCUCAUUAGCAAGAUAUCCAAGGAUUAUGUGAAAUUGCUGAAGUAUGGUGACUCACUAUAUCGGUGCAAAUCUCUGAAAGUUGCUGCACUCGGUCGCAUGUGUACUGUGAUUAAGAGGAU